CGGGACGUGGCCUAGUUUGGUUAGGGCACUUGACUGGGGGUCAAGAGGUCGCCGGUUCGAAUCCGGCCGUCCCGA
rnacentral:tRNA from 1 species